AUGUCUUCGUCAGCACCCCCUGGUUCUCUGUGUGACUGUGUGUUUCUCCCCCGCAUUCGGGUGGACUUCCUGAGAGCCGACGGCUCUUCCGCGGCGUCCGCUUGCUGGGGAGAGGGCUUGAGUCGCCUCCUUCUACUGGUUGGCUUGUUGACUGGCUCUGCUAGUGGAGAUGUGCAGGGGACUUUGGUGGUUUUGUCUUCAGUCACUAGGUCCUGGGUGUGCUCUGGGGUUUGGAGGAGCUCUCUGAGGCCAGCCAGGUCUUCUAGGGACUGCGCAUUUUUCUUGGCUGUUCUUGACUGCCUCUUGCUUCCAGUUACAUUUUCUGCAGAGUCUAGUUUCUGCUUUGCAGUUUUAUUCAACAAUUUGUUAUCUUCAUCAGCACCCCCUGGUUGUCUGAGUGACUCUGUGUUUCCCCUCCGCGUUCGGGUGGACUUCCUGAGAGCCGACGGCUCCAGCGCUGCAUCCGCUUGCUGGGGAGAGGGCUUGAGUCGCCUCCUUCUGCUCAUUGGCUUGCUGACUGGCUCUGCUAGUGGAGAUUUGCAGGGGACUUUGGUGGUUUUGUUAUCAGUCACCAGGUCCUGGGUGUGCUCUGGGGUUUGGAACAGUUCUUUGAGACCAACCAGGUCUUCUAGGGAAUGGACCAUUUUCUUUGGCGCUCGUGGCCGCCUCUCGCUUCCAGUUACAUUUUCUGCAGGGUUCAGUUUCUGCUUUGGGGUUUCCUUGAACUGUCUGAUGGCUUCAUCCCCACCUCCUGGUUCUGUGUAUGUGUGUGUGGCUUCCCUUGGCGUUUGGGUGGGCUUCCCGAGAGGGGAGAGCUCCUUCUCUAAGUCCACCUUCCCCAGAGGUAUCUUCAGACAUCUCUUCAUGUGGGUUGGUGUGUUGACUGCUUCUGCUAGUGGAGAUUUGCAGGGCAUCACUGCAGUUUGGACAACAGCUGUUAGUUCCUUGGUGUGCUCUGGGGUUUGGAAGAGCUCUUUAAAACCGACCAUGUCUCCUAGGAAUUGGGCCUUUUCCUUACCUGCUCUUAUCCAUUUCUUGCUUCCAGUUACAUUUUCUACAUGGUCUGGCUUCUUCUCUGGAGUUUCUUUAAACAAGUGA
rnacentral:lncRNA from 1 species